CUGCUCAGUAACACGUGGAUAACUUAACCUUAGGUCCGGCAUAACCCCGGGAAACUGGGGAUAAUUCCGGAUGUAUCAAGGAUGCUGGAAUGCCCUUUGGUUCAAAGCUUUUGUGCCUAAGGAUAGGUCUGCGGUCUAUCAGGUUGUAGUGGGUGUAACGUACCUACUAGCCGACGACGGAUACGGGUUGUGAGAGCAAGAGCCCGGAGAUGGAUUCUGAGACAAGAAUCCAGGCCCUACGGGGUGCAGCAGGCGCGAACACUUUACAAUGCGGGAAACCGCGAUAAGGGAACCCCGAGUGCCAGUACUAAGUGCUGGCUGUCUAGAUGAAUAGAUAUCAUUUAAUAGCAAGGGCCGGGCAAGACCGGUGCCAGCCGCCGCGGUAACACCGGCGGCCCGAGUGGUAACCGAUAUUAUUGGGUCUAAAGGGUCCGUAGCCUGUUUAAUAAGUCCUUUGGGAAAUCUGGCAGCUUAACUGUCAGGCUGCUAAAGGAUACUGUUAAACUUGGGACCGGUAGACGUAGGGGGUACUCCAGGGGUAGGAGUGAAAUCUUGUAAUCCCUGGGGGACCAUCUGUGGCGAAGGCGCCCUACGAGAACGGGUCCGACGGUGAGGGACGAAAGCUAGGGGAGCAAACCGGAUUAGAUACCCGGGUAGUCCUAGCUGUAAACGAUGCUCGCUAGGUGUCAGGCACGGUGCGUCCGUGUCUGGUGCCGCAGGGAAGCCGUUAAGCGAGCCACCUGGGGAGUACGGUCGCAAGGCUGAAACUUAAAGGAAUUGGCGGGGGAGCACUACAACGGGUGGAGCCUGCGGUUUAAUUGGAUUCAACGCCGGA
rnacentral:rRNA from 1 species